rnacentral:rRNA from 1 species
AGAGUUUGAUCAUGGCUCAGGAUGAACGCUGGCGGCGUGCUUAACACAUGCAAGUCGAACGGACUUUAUAUGAAGCCUAGCGAUUAUAAAGUUAGUGGCGGACGGGUGAGUAACGCGUGAAUAACCUGCCCUGUACCGGGGGACAACAGUUGGAAACGGCUGCUAAUACCGCAUAAGCGCACGGUUCCGCAUGGAACAGUGUGAAAAACUCCGGUGGUACAGGAUGGAUUCGCGUCUGAUUAGCCAGUUGGUGGGGUAACGGCCUACCAAAGCAACGAUCAGUAGCCGGCCUGAGAGGGUGAACGGCCACAUUGGGACUGAGACACGGCCCAAACCUCCGUACGGAGCA